CUCCUACGGGAGGCAGCAGUGGGGAAUAUUGGACAAUGGGGGCAACCCUGAUCCAGCCAUGCCGCGUGUGUGAAGAAGGCCUUUUGGUUGUAAAGCACUUUAAGCAGGGAGGAGAGGCUAAUGGUUAAUACCAAUUAGAUUAGACGUUACCUGCAGAAUAAGCACCGGCUAACUCUGUGCCAGCAGCCGCGGUAAUACAGAGGGUGCGAGCGUUAAUCGGAAUUACUGGGCGUAAAGCGAGUGUAGGUGGCUCAUUAAGUCACAUGUGAAAUCCCCGGGCUUAACCUGGGAACUGCAUGUGAUACUGGUGGUGCUAGAAUAUGUGAGAGGGAAGUAGAAUUCCAGGUGUAGCGGUGAAAUGCGUAGAGAUCUGGAGGAGUACCGAUGGCGAAGGCAGCUUCCUGGCAUAAUAUUGACACUGAGAUUCGAAAGCGUGGGUAGCAAACAGGAUUAGAUACCCUGGUAGUCCACGCCGUAAACGAUGUCUACUAGCCGUUGGGGUCCUUGAGACUUUAGUGGCGCAGUUAACGCGAUAAGUAGACCGCCUGGGGAGUACGGCCGCAAGGUUAAAACUCAAAUGAAUUGACGGGGGCCCGCACAAGCGGUGGAGCAUGUGGUUUAAUUCGAUGCAACGCGAAGAACCUUACCUGGUCUUGACAUAGUGAGAAUCCUGCAGAGAUGCGGGAGUGCCUUCGGGAAUUCACAUACAGGUGCUGCAUGGCUGUCGUCAGCUCGUGUCGUGAGAUGUUGGGUUAAGUCCCGCAACGAGCGCAACCCUUUUCCUUAUUUGCCAGCGGGUUAAGCCGGGAACUUUAAGGAUACUGCCAGUGACAAACUGGAGGAAGGCGGGGACGACGUCAAGUCAUCAUGGCCCUUACGGCCAGGGCUACACACGUACUACAAUGGUCGGUACAAAGGGUUGCCAAGCCGCGAGGUGGAGCUAAUCCCAUAAAACCGAUCGUAGUCCGGAUCGCAGUCUGCAACUCGACUGCGUGAAGUCGGAAUCGCUAGUAAUCGUGAAUCAGAACGUCACGGUGAAUACGUUCCCGGGCCUUGUACACACCGCCCGU
rnacentral:rRNA from 1 species